rnacentral:rRNA from 1 species
UACGGAGGGGGCGAGCGUUAUUCGGAUUCAUUGGGCGUAAAGGGUGCGUAGGUGGCGCUGUAAGUCAGGUGUGAAAUUUCGGAGCUUAACUCCGAAACUGCAUUUGAUACUGCGGUGCUUGAGGACUGGAGAGGAGACUGGAAUUUACGGUGUAGCAGUGAAAUGCGUAGAUAUCGGGAGGAACACCAGUGGCGAAGGCGGCCUUCUGGCUCAUAACUGACGCUGUAGCGCGAAAGCGUGGGGAGCGAACCGG